AGCGCAGGUGAGGCCUAAAUUCUUGAGGUGUACCAGGUAGUCUAGGAUACACUGCAGAGGUGAGGAGACCGGGUUCAGAUCCUUUUGGGAACACCACGAUGAGAAGCGUGACCAUUUGGAAAGGUACCAAGCCGUGAGCGCGAGAUGGUUCACCUGUGGAUGGAGAAGGAAGCGAUGAUUCUGGGAUAGGAGAUGGUGUCGAGCUGGCAGAGGAAACGGAGGAUGCAUCAACAUGCGAUGUAGUGAAACAGUUCGCAAGAGAGACGUUGUUCCGUCCGCUGCCGAGGACAGUCAGGAGGAACUGGUGGGAGCCGGACCAGCGGCACUCAAACGGCGCGAAAAGCCACGAGCCGUACUUCGCGCAUGCGUGGUCCGGCAGACUAUG